rnacentral:rRNA from 1 species
CGCUGGCGGCGUGCUUAACACAUGCAAGUCGAACGGAAAGGCCCUGCUUUUGUGGGGUGCUCGAGUGGCGAACGGGUGAGUAACACGUGAGUAACCUGCCCUUGACUUUGGGAUAACUUCAGGAAACUGGGGCUAAUACCGGAUAGGAGCUCCUGCUGCAUGGUGGGGGUUGGAAAGUUUCGGCGGUUGGGGAUGGACUCGCGGCUUAUCAGCUUGUUGGUGGGGUAGUGGCUUACCAAGGCUUUGACGGGUAGCCGGCCUGAGAGGGUGACCGGCCACAUUGGGACUGAGAUACGGCCCAGACUCCUACGGGAGGCAGCAGUGGGGAAUAUUGCACAAUGGGCGGAAGCCUGAUGCAGCAACGCCGCGUGCGGGAUGACGGCCUUCGGGUUGUAAACCGCUUUCGCCUGUGACGAAGCGUGAGUGACGGUAAUGGGUAAAGAAGCACCGGCUAACUACGUGCCAGCAGCCGCGGUGAUACGUAGGGUGCGAGCGUUGUCCGGAUUUAUUGGGCGUAAAGGGCUCGUAGGUGGUUGAUCGCGUCGGAAGUGUAAUCUUGGGGCUUAACCCUGAGCGUGCUUUCGAUACGGGUUGACUUGAGGAAGGUAGGGGAGAAUGGAAUUCCUGGUGGAGCGGUGGAAUGCGCAGAUAUCAGGAGGAACACCAGUGGCGAAGGCGGUUCUCUGGGCCUUUCCUGACGCUGAGGAGCGAAAGCGUGGGGAGCGAACAGGCUUAGAUACCCUGGUAGUCCACGCUGUAAACGGUGGGUACUAGGUGUGGGGUCCAUUCCACGGGUUCCGUGCCGUAGCUAACGCUUUAAGUACCCCGCCUGGGGAGUACGGCCGCAAGGCUAAAACUCAAAGGAAUUGACGGGGCCCCGCACAAGCGGCGGAGCAUGCGGAUUAAUUCGAUGCAACGCGUAGAACCUUACCUGGGUUUGACAUGGAUCGGGAGUGCUCAGAGAUGGGUGUGCCUCUUUUGGGGUCGGUUCACAGGUGGUGCAUGGCUGUCGUCAGCUCGUGUCGUGAGAUGUUGGGUUAAGUCCCGCAACGAGCGCAACCCUUGUUCACUGUUGCCAGCACGUUAUGGUGGGGACUCAGUGGAGACCGCCGGGGUCAACUCGGAGGAAGGUGGGGAUGACGUCAAGUCAUCAUGCCCCUUAUGUCCAGGGCUUCACGCAUGCUACAAUGGCUGGUACAGAGAGUGGCGAGCCUGUGAGGGUGAGCGAAUCUCGGAAAGCCGGUCUCAGUUCGGAUUGGGGUCUGCAACUCGACCUCAUGAAGUCGGAGUCGCUAGUAAUCGCAGAUCAGCAACGCUGCGGUGAAUACGUUCCCGGGGCUUGUACACACCGCCCGUCAAGUCAUGAAAGUUGGUAACACCCGAAGCCGGUGGCCUAACCGUUGUGGGGGAGCCGUCGAAGGUGGGACUGGUAA